UGGGGAAUAUUGCACAAUGGGCGCAAGCCUGAUGCAGCCAUGCCGCGUGUGUGAAGAAGGCCUUCGGGUUGUAAAGCACUUUCAGCGAGGAGGAAGGUGGUGAGCUUAAUACGCUCAUCAAUUGACGUUACUCGCAGAAGAAGCACCGGCUAACUCCGUGCCAGCAGCCGCGGUAAUACGGAGGGUGCAAGCGUUAAUCGGAGUUACUGGGCGUAAAGCGCACGCAGGCGGUUUGUUAAGUCAGAUGUGAAAUCCCCGGGCUCAACCUGGGAACUGCAUUUGAAACUGGCAAGCUAGAGUCUCGUAGAGGGGGGUAGAAUUCCAGGUGUAGCGGUGAAAUGCGUAGAGAUCUGGAGGAAUACCGGUGGCGAAGGCGGCCCCUGGACGAAGACUGACGCUCAGG
rnacentral:rRNA from 1 species